ACAACUUUUUGUUGUCUUCUUUUUCUUUCGAAAAUAUUUUGCUAAAGGGUUUUCAUUCUUUCGAAAAUAUUUUGCUGGGUUAAUAUUGUUCUCAUAGUAUACUCUGUUUUUAUCCUUACAAAAACACAACCACUCACUCGUGAAAGAAUCUUAAAUGUUUUCAAUGCUCCUUGAGGAAUUUUCCUCUGCUUCAGGGGAUUUUCUUGGGAACUUUCUCUUCUAAAAAAAAAAAUAUCAAGAUUCGUUUCACAGUUGCUUCAUAAGUUUGCAGAGGCAUUUCUUCAUCUCAAAGGAAACUUUUUUUCCAGGAAAAUAAAAUUUCAAGGUAGUCUCUUGAGCUCAAAACUAUCAGCAUUUCUUCUUCCUGCAAGGUGUCUAAGAAUCUAAAACACAAGUGGUGUAUGAUGAUCAUGAUUCCUAAGUGAUUAUAUUUUCCUAAGUAGUUUGUGUGUUUAUGGUCUUGUGUGUGGCUAUGGAGAAACACUUUUUUGGCAUGCCAUUACUGCUUCUAGUUCUGCUUUUAUCCUCCAUAGACAGAUCAACACAGCUUCAAUCAUCUCAAUCUCAAACCCUUUUGAGGCUGCAACAGCUUCUCCACUAUCCCAAUGUCUUAAACAGCUGGAACAACUUCACAGACUUCUGCAACUCGGAGCCAAAUGCCUCUCUAACCGUUGUGUGCUACGAAGAUAGUGUAACGCAGCUCCACAUUAUAGGAGACAGGAAAGCUCACAUGUUACCAAAGAGUUUCUCAGUAGACUCAUUUGUCACUACUCUUGUUAAGCUCCCUGAUGUUAAGGUUCUCACCUUAGUGUCCCUUGGAUUAUGGGGUCGGUUACCUGAGAAAAUCAACCGUUUGUACUCGUUAGAGAUUCUCAAUGUGAGUUCUAACUUCCUCUUUGGACCCAUUCCUCAUGAACUCUCCUCUCUUGCAACCCUUCAGACACUCAUACUCGAUGAGAACAUGUUUUCUGGUCGUGUACCGGAUUGGAUUGGUUCUUUACCGAGUUUAGCUGUGUUGAGCUUGAGAAAGAACGCAUUCAACGGCUCAUUACCUUCUUCAUUACGUACCUUGUCAGGUCUUAGAGUGCUUUCUCUAGCUAAUAACCGGUUUAAUGGAGAUUUACCUGAUCUAAGCCGUUUGACAAACCUUCAAGUGCUUGACCUUGAAGGAAACUCUUUCGGACCGUUGUUUCCUCGGUUAAGUCACAAGUUGGUUACUCUUAUACUCAGCAAGAACAGGUUUAGGUCGGCAGUAUCAUCUCAAGAAGUGAGUUCUUUGUAUCAGCUUCAACAUUUGGAUCUUUCAUUCAAUACAUUCGUUGGUCCGUUUCCCACUUCCUUGAUGUCUCUCCCUGCCAUAACUUACUUGAACAUUUCACACAACAAACUCACCGGGCGGCUUUCGACAAAUAUUUCUUGCAACUCAGAGCUGAUGUUUGUGGAUCUCUCAUCGAAUCUUCUUACAGGAAGCUUGCCUGCUUGUCUUAAACCUAGUUCUGGAACUAGCAGAGAUGUUGUCUAUGCAGGUAACUGUUUAGCUACUGCAAAUGAAGACCAGCGUCCAGUUUCUUAUUGUAGCAAUGAAGCUCUUGCUGUUGGAAUCCUACCAAAGAGGAGGAACAGGGUUUCCAAGUUGAGUAUUGCCCUAGGGGUAACCACAGGCAUUCUUGGAAUGAUUCUCCUUGUUGGUGCAUUGUUUGUGGUUCUCAGGAGAAUGAAUGCUAAGAGAACAGCAACGAAAGCUUCACCAAGAUUGAUCAAAGAGAAUGCUUCAUUUGGAUACACAUCAAAGCUACUCUCAGAUGCAAGGUAUAUCUCUCAGACAAUGAAGCUAGGAGCACUAGGUCUUCCUUCUUACAGGACAUUCUCUCUGGAAGAACUUGAGUAUGCAACAAACAACUUUGAAUCCUCUGCUUUCAUGGGUGAAGGUUCUCAAGGACAGAUUUAUAGAGGAAGGUUAAAAGAUGGAUCCUUUGUGGCAAUAAGAUGUUUGAAAAUGAAGAAAAGUUGCAGCACCCAAAACCUGAUGCAUCACAUUGAGCUCAUAGCUAAACUGAGGCACCGUCAUUUGGUUAGCGUGCUAGGGCAUUGUUUUGAGUGCUAUUUAGAUGAUUCAACAGUCAGCAGAAUGUUCUUUGUCUUUGAAUAUGUCCCAAAUGGAGAACUCAGGAGCUGGAUCUCAGAUGGGCAUAUGGGAAGAUUGCUUACUUGGGAACAACGCAUAAGCAUAGCCAUAGGUGCAGCAAAAGGGAUCCAGUUCUUGCAUACUGGUAUUGUACCUGGUGUUUAUGAUAACAACCUAAGAAUAACAGACGUUUUGCUUGAUAAUAACCUCGCUGCAAAAAUCAGUAGCUAUAACCUUCCAUUGCUAGUGGAAGGUCUUGGAAAGGUGGGGCAAGUAGUAUCUCGAACCUGUCCCAAAGGCACUCCAAGGUGUGUUAAAGAAGAAGAUAAGAUCGAUAUCUAUGACUUUGGAGUGAUCUUACUUGAACUUAUAGUGGGAAGACCACUGAGAGCAAAGGCUCAAGUCGAUGUUCUUAAAGAACAGUUACAAGCAAGCAUUUCAGGGGAUGAUGGAGCGCGUAGGAGCAUGGUGGAUCCAACUGUCCAUAGAACUUGUUCAGACCAAUCACUCAAGACGAUGAUGGAGAUAUGUGUAAGGUGUCUCAUCAAAGACCAUUUAGAACGGCCUUCCAUUGAAGAUGUCCUGUGGAAUCUUCAGUUUGCUUCUCAAGUCCAAGAAGGCUGGCUACAAAACAGCAAUCCUCCGAGCAUUCGCGGCUCGCCUUCUCCUGCAGCUUCCUCUCUUCCUCCUCCCUCUCGUUUACACAUAACAACACUUGAAUCUCCCCGUGAUUCAGGAUAUGAAGAACAUGAGAGGUAGGGAGACACGAGUUUUGGUUUGAUCCGUUGUGUGCUCUUCACUAGCCUAUGUUGAGGAACCUAACAAUAAACUGGUUAUUUCAUUAAAAUAUAAACUACCAACUCUACAUUUUUUUGGCUAUACCGUUAGUAUUGCUUACUAUCAUUCUCUUUUUCCAACAUUAUUAAAAAGGAGAAUUAAAGACAACCUAGUUAUAUAUUCAUAUCCGGUGAAAACCCUCGGCCGGAAAUAUAACCUCCGCAGACACCGCCGUGGAACCAACAGCUACCGAAAAAUCAGUACCGCUCUCAUCCUCAUCCUCAUCCUCAUGCUGACUUUGUCUACUUGUUUGAUGCCGUGGCAUAGGCUGCAACGAAUGUUCUAAGUUAGCCGGAGCCAUGACGUCAUAUCCGACGGCCGCUGCUGCUGUCGCGGUAAAUCUGUUCAUGGCGGCUCCGGCAAGAGUGGUGGAGGCGGAUGAAUUAUUGGAGUAUUCAGGUUGUUGCAUAACGAAUAGUUGUUAUUGUUGUUGUUGGUGGUGACUUUGUUGUUGUUGCAUUACGUUGGCCAUUGCGACUCUACUGUUUACUAGUUGUUCCGCCUGUAAUGCGGCCACCUAAUAUAUUCAUGGUUACAAAACUAA